rnacentral:rRNA from 1 species
CGGCAGGCCUAACACAUGCAAGUCGAGCGCGAAAACACCUCGGUGUGAGUAGAGCGGCGGACGGGUGAGUAAUGCUUGGGAAUCUGCCCAGUAGUGGGGGAUAACGUGUGGAAACGCACGCUAAUACCGCAUACGUCCUACGGGAGAAAGCAGGGGAUCUUCGGACCUUGCGCUAUUGGAUGAGCCCAAGUCAGAUUAGCUAGUUGGUGAGGUAAUGGCUCACCAAGGCGACGAUCUGUAGCUGGUCUGAGAGGAUGAUCAGCCACACUGGGACUGAGACACGGCCCAGACUCCUACGGGAGGCAGCAGUGGGGAAUAUUGCACAAUGGGCGAAAGCCUGAUGCAGCCAUGCCGCGUGUGUGAAGAAGGCUCUAGGGUUGUAAAGCACUUUCAGUGGGGAGGAAAAGUUUAAGAUUAAUAAUCUUGAACCUUGACGUUACCUGCAGAAGAAGCACCGGCAAACUCCGUGCCAGCAGCCGCGGUAAUACGGAGGGUGCGAGCGUUAAUCGGAAUUACUGGGCGUAAAGCGCGCGUAGGUGGUUUGAUAAGCUAGCUGUGAAAGCCCCGGGCUCAACCUGGGAACUGCAGUUAGAACUGUCUGGCUAGAGUAUAGUAGAGGGUGGCGGAAUUUCCUGUGUAGCGGUGAAAUGCGUAGAUAUAGGAAGGAACAUCAGUGGCGAAGGCGG